rnacentral:tRNA from 1 species
UGCUGGCGGGACUACAGGUUAGAGCACCUGCUUUGCUAGCAGGAGGUCGGUGGUUCAACUCCACCCCCGGCAA